rnacentral:rRNA from 1 species
UACGUAGGGACCAAGCGUUGUUCGGAUUUACUGGGCGUAAAGGGCGCGUAGGCGGCAAUUCAAGUCAGCUGUGAAAUCUCCGGGCUUAACUCGGAACGGUCAGCUGAUACUGCUUUGCUAGAGUGCAGAAGGGGCAAUCGGAAUUCUUGGUGUAGCGGUGAAAUGCGUAGAUAUCAGGAGGAACACCGAUGGCGAAGGCAGGUCUCUGGGCUGACACUGACGCUCAUGCACGAAAGCGUGGGGAGCAAACAGG